UCGGGAAUUUUGGGCAAUGGGCGAAAGCCUGACCCAGCAACGCCGCGUGAGGGAUGAAGUAUUUCGGUAUGUAAACCUCGAAAGAAUGGGAAGAAUAAAUGACGGUACCAUUUAUAAGCUCCGGCUAACUACGUGCCAGCAGCCGCGGUAAUACGUAGGACCCAAGCGUUGUCCGGAUUUACUGGGUGUAAAGGGUGCGCAGGCGGAUGGGUAAGUCAGGGGUGAAAGUCUGCAGCUUAACUGUAGAAUUGCCUUUGAUACUGCUCAUCUUGAGUGUGGGAGAGGUUGAUGGAAUUCCAGGUGUAGCAGUGAAAUGCGUAGAUAUCUGGAAGAACACCAGUGGCGAAGGCGGUCAACUGGCCCAUAACUGACGCUCAUGCACGAAAGCGUGGGGAGCAAACA
rnacentral:rRNA from 1 species